AGCGAACGCUGGCGGCAGGCCUAACACAUGCAAGUCGAACGGGCUCUUCGGAGCUAGUGGCGGACGGGUGAGUAACACGUGGGAACGUGCCCUUAGGUUCGGAAUAAGCCCGGGAAACUUGGUCUAAUACCGGAUGGGCCCCUCGGGGGCAAGAUUUAUCGCCUUGAGAGCGGCCCGCGUCUGAUUAGCUAGUUGGUGGUGUAAUGGACCACCAAGGCGACGAUCAGUAGCUGGUCUGAGAGGAUGAUCAGCCACAUUGGGACUGAGACACGGCCCAAACUCCUACGGGAGGCAGCAGUGGGGAAUCUUGCGCAAUGGGCGAAAGCCUGACGCAGCCAUGCCGCGUGAAUGAUGAAGGUCUUAGGAUUGUAAAAUUCUUUCACCGGGGACGAUAAUGACGGUACCCGGAGAAGAAGCCCCGGCUAACUUCGUGCCAGCCGCCGCAGUAAAAC
rnacentral:rRNA from 1 species